rnacentral:lncRNA from 1 species
AGGCACACAUGCUUUCAUAUAAAAUUCUUCGAGAUUAGAGUGAAGUGUCAUGGAGCUUAAGUCUUAAGUAAUCGAAAGAUAAAAUAGUUAAGUAAAGCACUAUUCCUCCUGUCUAUACUUCACCUUUGUUCUGGGGUUUUGUAUAAGUUUUCAAAAAUAAAACUCAGAGUUCCCAGCUAUGAUUCUCUCAAGUCUCUCUAUAUGUGGUAUUUGAGGAUCCUUACCAAAAUAUCACCUACCUAUAGCUAACGGAAUAUUUAAGUGGAGCUCAUAGGAGUGAAAAAUAGCUCAUACAUAUGUUGUCUAAUCGAGCCAUGGAUCCAGAGGAACUCAGCAUAUAUAAUAAAAUCAAGAUGUGCAUGUUUGGUGGAGUAAACGAUAGUGAUGGUAAAAAUGUAUAAGUGAAAAUAAAACUUACUUCUCAUUGCUCCUCAUAUUGCUAUCUCUCCUCUUAUUUGAUCUUUGCUUUGGAAGAACAUGGGCUAUCUCUUUCUUCCCUUUUUUUUCAGGUGGGUAGUAAAUACCCCUAAUUCUACUGUCGGACACUUGUCCAUUUUUUCCGCUCAGGUGGGCAUCUUUGUACCCCUAAUUCUACUCCAGACACUUGUCCACUUUACCUCUCGUCUCACUCUUUUUCUUUCUUUUUGAGGUUCCGGGCACUUGCCCCUUUUUAUUUCCUCGCAUAUUUUUUUUUGCAUAACCAAUGUCUCUUCUGCAUUGAAUCUUUUUAGAGAGAGAGAAUAACAACACUUGGGACAGUGAGUGAUAAUAUUUUUAGCAGAUUUUAAUGAAUGGUGGUGAAUAGUGUAGUGGAUAUGUGCAAGUGAAUAUCUUAAUUUAACCACAUGAAAAGCUCCUGAGGGUCUACACAGCUCGAUCAAACUCAAUGUGAAUAUAGUAAAAGAUGUUAUAGCAAGUAUGGCGGUGGUAGGAAGUUUAUCAUGCUAGGAACUCAUCAUGUGAUUUGUAAGUUUUCGAAAUGAAUCUCCAGAACUUAGUGUAGUAGGAACAAGAUAAAUAGUAGCUCAAACUUUAUAUCAUGCCUUUCUCUUGCCUAGACUUUAGUUUUAUGCUUCCCGUAGAUAGUAAAUUUUAUUUUUAGUAAUUCCUAGAAGAACUCUAAUAUAAAAGCUAGGUACUUGAAAGUAAGCAAACAGAGCAACUGUUCAUCAUUUCCAUCAAGCAUCUUUUUGGUCUUUUUAUUUUUCUAGAGAUUAACAUGGAAAAUAAAGCACACUUAUCUACGCACUCUUUUUAUUUUGUUUUCAUGUUUAUAGAAUGCAGUAAAUUAAAGCAAGAAAAUAUUUAUUUGGUUUUCUAUGUUUUUCUCUUUAAAAUAAAACACUAAAACAGAAAAGAAUAAAUAAGAAGGGCAAAUAAAAACUUACUUGAUAAAAUGGGGAGGAACUCCCCCAAGCUGGAUGUGGUUGUCGGUCUUACCCGAUGUUCUAGAAUCGCAUCAUGGUGGUGAUGUUGUCGUUCAUUGUUAUGGUGUCUGGUCUCAGUUCUUUUACUGCAGUGGCAUGGUCCUGGUUCCACUUUUGUUGCUGUUGCAGGAGUCGUCCAUGUUCUACUUGUGUAUUCUGGAUGUCGAGGAGGGUGUUGUCAGUACGGGUGAAGAAGGCA